rnacentral:rRNA from 1 species
GGAGUUUGGGCCGUGUCUCAGUCCCAAUGUGGCCGUCCGACCUCUCAGUCCGGCUACAGAUCGUCGCCUUGGUGGGCCGUUACCUCACCAACUAGCUAAUCUGACGCGGGCCCAUCUCGUACCACCGGAGUUUUUCACACCAGGUCAUGCGACCUUGUGCGCUUAUGCGGUAUUAUCAGUCGUUUCCAACUGCUAUCCCCCAGUACGAGGCAGGUUGCCCACGCGUUACUCACCCGUCCGCCACUAAGAUUAAACAAGAAUCCGCCGAAGCCUCAUCAGCGUCUAAUCUCCGUUCGACUUGCAUGUGUUAGGCACGCCGCCAGCGUUCAUC